CAGAAAAAUUUCAUAUAGAUUUAUUUUUUAAUAAAUGUUCGUUCGUUCGUUCGUAGUAUUAUAAGCAAUAUUUCAUGAUAAACUUUGAUCAUUUAUAAUUUCUAAAAAUUUCCAACGGUAGAUAUCAUAUAUUCUAAUUUCGUGUUCGGUUGAAAGAUGGCAAUGCCUUCACCCUUAAAGAAUACAUUGAGGAUUUAUCUUUCGAAUGAAAUAUUGUCCCUUGUAUAACUUAUAGUUGGAUUAAAAUUUAUAUGACGUUCUAAUCGUCGAGAUAAGACAUAUGUCAGAUAUUUAACUGGUAAAUUUAUUGCUUCGGUUUGUUUCAAAACAAAAAAAUUUAUAUUUUUUGUAUUACUAACCUCACAAUUCAGCUGUAAUUCCUGGCUUGACCCAUACUCGACUGGAAACUCAAUGACAUGAAAAUUUGGACGGAAUUUUGGACAAUUGCCUGAGAUAUAAUAUUUGAUGUAAGAACUUUCAUUACGGAACAUAAAGAAAAUAAAUUACAUC